rnacentral:rRNA from 1 species
GAUGAACGCUGGCGGCGUGCCUAACACAUGCAAGUCGAGCGGGCUGACGCUCAACACUGAGAAUUCAGUAUUUUGUCUAAAUAGCCAGCGUCAAGGACGGAAGUAUGGAGUCCUUCACGCGUUAUUUAAGUGACAACACAUGUUGUAAAGUGAACUGAAUUUUGAGUGUUGAGCGGAAGCUAGCGGCGGACGGGUGAGUAACGCGUGGGCAACCUGCCCUGUACUGAGGGACAACAACGGGAAACCGUUGCUAAUACCUCAUAAUACCUUUUAAAGGCAUCUUUUUAAGGUCAAAGAUUUAUCGGUACAGGAUGGGCCCGCGUCUGAUUAGCUAGUUGGUGGGGUAAUGGCCCACCAAGGCGACGAUCAGUAGCCGACCUGAGAGGGUGAUCGGCCACACUGGAACUGAGACACGGUCCAGACUCCUACGGGAGGCAGCAGUGGGGAAUAUUGCACAAUGGGCGAAAGCCUGAUGCUGCAACGCCGCGUGAGCGAUGAAGGCCUUCGGGUCGUAAAGCUCUGUCCUAAGGGAAGAAAUUUGACGGUACCUUGGGAGGAAGCCCCGGCUAACUACGUGCCAGCAGCCGCGGUAAUACGUAGGGGGCAAGCGUUAUCCGGAAUCACUGGGCGUAAAGGGUGCGUAGGCGGUCUUACAAGUCAGGGGUGAAAGGCUACGGCUCAACCGUAGUAAGCCUUUGAAACUGUAGGACUUGAGUGCAGGAAAGGAAAGUGGAAUUCCUAGUGUAGCGGUGAAAUGCGUAGAUAUUAGGAGGAACACCAGUGGCGAAGGCGACUUUCUGGACUGUAACUG